rnacentral:rRNA from 1 species
GACGAACGCUGGCGGCGUGCUUAACACAUGCAAGUCGAACGGAAAGGCCUUGCUUUUGUGGGGUGCUCGAGUGGCGAACGGGUGAGUAACACGUGAGUAACCUGCCCUUGACUUUGGGAUAACUUCAGGAAACUGGGGCUAAUACCGGAUAGGAGCUCCUGCUGCAUGGUGGGGGUUGGAAAGUUUCGGCGGUUGGGGAUGGACUCGCGGCUUAUCAGCUUGUUGGUGGGGUAGUGGCUUACCAAGGCUUUGACGGGUAGCCGGCCUGAGAGGGUGACCGGCCACAUUGGGACUGAGAUACGGCCCAGACUCCUACAGGAGGCAGCAGUGGGGAAUAUUGCACAAUGGGCGGAAGCCUGAUGCAGCAACGCCGCGUGCGGGAUGACGGCCUUCGGGUUGUAAACCGCUUUCGCCUGUGACGAAGCGUGAGUGACGGUAAUGGGUAAAGAAGCACCGGCUAACUACGUG